rfam:Camelus ferus unplaced genomic scaffold scaffold145, whole genome shotgun sequence.
GAGGGUAUAGCUCAAGUGGUAGAGCACAUGCUUAGCAUGCAUGAGGUCCUGGGUUCAAUCCCCAGUGCCUGCU